rnacentral:rRNA from 1 species
ACGGCUCAGUAACACGUGGACAACCUACCCUCAGCACGGGGAUAAACCCGGGAAACUGGGUAUAAUACCCGAUAGUUCUGGUUAGCUGGAAUGCUUCCAGGACGAAAGCUCCGGCGACUGAGGAUGGGUCUGCGGCCUAUCAGGUAGUAGUGGGUGUAAUGUACCUACUAGCCUACGACGGGUACGGGUCGUGAGAGCGAGAGCCCGGAGAUGGAUUCUGAGACACGAAUCCAGGCCCUACGGGGUGCAGCAGGCGCGAAAACUUUACAAUGCUGGCAACAGCGAUAAGGGGACCUCGAGUGCCAGGAUACAAUCUUGGCUGUCGUAAUGCCUAAAAAGCAUUGCAUAGCAAGGGCCGGGCAAGACCGGUGCCAGCCGCCGCGGUAACACCGGCGGCUCGAGUGGUAACCGCUAUUAUUGGGUCUAAAGGGUCUGUAGCCGGCCGGAUAAGUCUUUUGGGAAAUCCAGCAGCUCAACUGUUGGGCUUUCAGAAGAUACUGUUCGGCUCGAGGCCGGGAGAGGUGAGAGGUACUUCAGGGGUAGGGGUGAAAUCUUGUAAUCCUUGAAGGACCACCAGUGGCGAAGGCGUCUCACCAGAACGGAUCUGACGGCAAGGGACGAAAGCUAGGGGCACGAACCGGAUUAGAUACCCGGGUAGUCCUAGCCGUAAACGAUACUCGCUAGGUGUCGGCCACGGUGCGACCGUGGUCGGUGCCGUAGGGAAGCCGUGAAGCGAGCCACCUGGGAAGUACGGCCGCAAGGCUGAAACUUAAAGGAAUUGGCGGGGGAG